CCCACAUUCACACGCACACUCCCGCACAAGGAUCAAGCCGCCCCGUCACUUGCACAUGGCCCACCAAAGCAAUUCCUCAAACUCCAGCUCACGGACGGGCCGUUCUCGCAAAGCACCAAAGCACUUCACAUGGGCCCCGCCGAAGCUUCAUCAAAUCAUCCGCAUAUGGCCAAAGCAUGGACCGCACUCACAUUCCCACUCACGCAACACGCGGCCCGUGCUUCACCAAAGCUCGCGAACAAUGACCAGGCUCCCGCACAUCCACUUGCCCAUUCCCGCACAUUACCGCACCUGAUCCACUCACACACAUGACCGCACUUCACCGUGGACCGCACAUGGGACAGCAGCUCAUGUGAAAGCAAUUUCCAAAUUAGUGCACCUCUCCAGCUCUAUUUAAAGAGCUUUAAGCGGUCAGACACAACAAUUCCAAUUUCAAUUCGGCAAUUCCACCGACCGGCGCAAUUCGGUUCUUCUUUCUUUUCUUUUCUUUUUUUUUUUUAUUUUAUUCUUCUGUUUUUAAUUCAGUCAUAAGUGGCUGAAUUAUUUUAAUCUAGUUGAAUAUUGGUUGAAGUUUUAGUUGAUUUAAGAGUUGUGAGACUUAAUCAAAUAUUGUUUAAUUUUUGGGAAUUCAAUAUUUAUGCAAUUUCAUAUUUAAUUUUCAUAUUAUUUUGUUAUUGAGAUCUACGUUGAUUUUUGAUUGCAAAAUAAUUAUUUGUUAGUUUGAAUAAUUUAAGUCCGUAAUUGCUUGGAUUAUUCUUACAUGAGAACACUUGGGAUAAAACCCAAGGAAAUUGUAUGAUCUAGCGUUAUCUCCAUACAUUUGGGUAGCUAGGAUUGAGUCUCUCUAUUUCUUAAUGCAAUUGACAAUUGUUUUGAUGCCUAAGGCUCAAGGACGUUCCUUGGCAAUUUGUUAAUUAGUAAUUAAUUAGAGGACGUUCCCUAAUUAGUUUAAUCAUAAGGAGAGAUAAUGGUGGUGAGAAGCGUCUUCCAUCUCCAUAUAAUUAAUCUAUUGAAUCAACCCAAAAGAACAAAGUGUCUGUGAUCAAUCCCAAUGACUAAAGUGGAUCCAAUACUUCAACUAGAGCUUUCUCAUUAUUGAUUACUUUUUAUUUAAUUAUUUGCUUUUCAUUAUUUUUCUCAUUAUUAGUUUACUACAAUCAAUCUCAAACCCCCCAUUUUAAUUUUACUGCAAUUUAUUUUUAUUCCGCUUUCAGUUUAUCUCAUUUUUGGUUUAUCUCAUUGUUUCAGUUUAUUUUAUUGUUUUUGUUGAGAAAAAUAAAUAGGUAAUCAAUUCUCUGUGGAUUCGAUCCUUCACCACUAUCUGCAGUUGUAAAUUGUUGAUAACCAAAAAGGUUAUUUUUGACCGGUUUCGACAACCGCGAGUCAAAAAUUGGCGCCGUUGCCGGGGAGUUGAUUUAACUUAUUUGUUUUUCUUUCAGGACCAAAAAAAAAAAAGGUAGCAUCACAGAAUCUGCCUCUGAAAAAAGUUACCAUCGCAGAUCAUGGAUGAGGUAAGUACAUCUGUUCUCUAUUCUCAACUCACAUCUGUUAUGAAAAAUAUUGCCAUAGACAUUGUGCAACAAAUUCAAGCGACGCAGCCACCAAAGUCGUGUAGGAUCUGUGGAUAUGUGGGAUACCCAACUGAUCAAUGUCCCACACUUUAUCAGUAUGACCAGCCUAGACAUGCAUUUGGAGGAUUCUAUGAACAGCCAAGACAUGAUCCAUACUAUAACACAUACAGUCCAGGUUGGAGAAACUAUCCAGACUUCAGUUAUGCAGAGGCUAACAACUACCAGGAUUAUCAAGGAUAUCAAGCCCAACUAGAACCUCAAAGUUCCAAUCUUGAUGAGAUUAUGAAGACUUUGCGAAGUAUCCAACAGCAACAGGAUCAAUUGAACAAAUCAUUGAAUGCAACCAUGUUAAGAAGAGAGGAAGAGUUUCAAGAUGUAUGAGAUGAUGAUGAAAGUUAGCAAGUACAAGAACAAGUUGCUGAAGAGACCCAACUAGAAAACUGUUUGUCCCAACAAACUGGUCAAACAGAACCCGCUGAAAGUUUAGAUAUCAUUGAUUGUAUGAGCCAAGAAAAUUUUUAUGUAGAUCAAGAUGAUAUGCUAAACAAUAAUUUUUGCAGGGAAGAGAACCAGAAAGAGCUAGAAUUGAAAGAAACUGACUAUUGCAUCCAACAGGUGAACUGCAGCCAAGCACAGACUGAAGAGAGCUCUGUCGCACCUCUUCAGGAGAAUUCGCAGAUGAACCUUGCGCAAUCUAAAACACCUUCAGGCGCACCCUUUCAGCUUCCAACGCAGGCCAAUCCUCUCCUUCAAAUGGGUCUUGCGCAGAAGGAGGCCCCUGGAUCCAGUUCUGCCAAAAACCUUGCACAGGACAGUCCUGCAACACUUCCAGUUGCACCUCUUCAGCUUCCAUCACAUGAAACUCCUUCCAUCCUUCCAUUGCAGUCAGAUUUUGCGCAAAAGGAGCAAUCUGAAAUCAAUUCAGCCAUAAAUCCAAUACAAACAGCCCAUGCUCACAAGGAACAAAUGGUGUUCCAAGCACCUAAACCAAAGGAGCAUGCGGAUCAAUGUCUUCCCAAACCUCCGGAUAAGGUAGAAUUUGUUUUGCCAGAUUUUAGUACCAAUUUGCAGCUACACAUAGAGAGACAUGAAUUGGAGUUCAAGGUGUUUCCCAAUCAUCUCAAGAAUGCAAACAUAAGGGCUAGAGAUACACCUCAUCUGAAAGAGGAAAAGCUAAUCAUGUUGCUUCAUGAGUACAUGAAAAAAAUAAGAUGGGCUAUGACUAAAUCAAAAGGAGUGCUACAUUUUUUGCUCAUGAGUACAUGAAAAAAAUAAGAUGGGCUAUGACUAAAUCAAAAGGAGUGCUACAUUUUUUGCUCAAUACAGUUGGGACUCUUUUCCCUUCUCCAAUUACUUGAACCUUGAUCAAGUGGAUCACGCCAUGCACACCACACCCAGGGGAGUACUCAGUUUCCUUUGUUCUUUUAUGUUUCUUAUACAUUAAGGACAAUGCAUGAUUUAGGUGUGGGGGUGCAUAUCUCUGAAUUUUUACUUUUAAGUCUAUUUUUGCUUUAAUCUUUAGUUUUCUUGCAUUAGGCAAAAUUUUUUUCAUUUUUGUUAUUUUUGCUUUCAAUAAAACACACACAACCACAACCUUCUUCUUCUUUUUUUUUAUUUGCUAUACUCAAACUGAUGGACUAUGUUGGGUGAGCUUUUCUUUCUAUGACCCCAUUGAUGUGAUAACUCUUUAAACUUAUGUUGAAUCAAUUGCAGUGAGUUAUAUUCAUGUUUGAGAAUUGCCUUUUGAAUUGAAUCUUUGAGCUUGCCAAUGGUGAAAAAUAUAUUGAUGACCCUCAAUUGAUUGAGAAUAAAUUGAAAGUUGUGUGAAUGAACUUAAUGUGACUUGAUUUAGCAAUUGGUGUUGAUUUGCCCAAAUUAUUGAGAGAAAGAAAAUUCAGCAAAGGCAAAGACCUCAAAAGCACAAAGUAAAAAAUUGUUCCAAUGGUCAAAGGACUAUGAACAGAGCUAGUAGCCACUUGGAAAGGUGACCAACUGAGUAACUGGGGGUGGAUAUCACAAAUAUGUACCUUCACGUCAAAAGGUUGGUGACUUCUCUAAGCAAAAUUAAAGUGCAAAAGCCUUAAUAAAGUACUUCAAGGUAAGGGCAAGUCACUCCGAAAGCUAGAAAAGGUCUUAACAAAUAAAUGUGCAUGUAUGGUCUCUCUUGAGGAAAACAAAUCCUAGCCACGGUGAGUAAAGGGAAACAAGGAAAGAAUGUGAGUAAUCUUCAUGCAUAUAUUCUUCAUGCAUAUAUUCUUCACUGCAAUGCUUCAAAAUAAGUGUUUUGAGUAAGAGCUUAAGUGGAAAUAAGGAUCUAGAGAGAGAAAGCUUAUUUGACUAUGUUUAUUUGCUUGAGGACAAACAAAAGGUUAAGUGUGGGGGUAUUUGAUAGAGCAUAAUUUAGUCCAUUUUAUAUUAAUAUUAUUAAUGAAUAUUUACAUAAUUUCUGCUUAAUUUAGUACUUUUAAUAUUAUUUUACAAAAAAUGAUGUAAAAGGACAUUUUGGAGAAAAUCCUCCUAAAACUGUCUUAUUUGGAGCAAAAGAGAGCAAGCCUGCCACGUUGGAUUCAAGUCAAGUUAAACGAGGAAAAUAUUUUGAAACUUAAAUAUUGAAGCAAUUGGACGGCCCAUUUCCGCAAGCUCAAAUCGAAGCCCAAUCACAAACACGGACCCAUUCUCGCAAAUGGACCAGUGCAUUUCAUUCUCACGCACAUGGUGGCCAAAGCUGACAGCCCAUUAUCACUUCAACGUGGAUCGCUUCACCAAGCCCGCGCUUCAUCACUUCACAUGGACUACUCACGCAAUGGGCCCGCCUUCACCACACACGCACAAAGGGCCAGCGUACUUCCAUUCCACCAAAGCUUGGACGGCCCACAUUCACACGUACACUCCCGCAUAAGGAUCAAGCCGCCCCGUCACUUGCACAUGGCCCACCAAAGCAAUUCCUCAAACUCCAGCUCACGGACGGGCCGUUCUCGCAAAGCACCAAAGCACUUCACAUGGGCCCCGCCGAAGCUUUAUCAAAUCAUCUGCACAUGGCCAAAGCAUGGACCGCACUCACAUUCCCACUCACGCAACACGCGGCCCGCGCUUCACCAAAGCUCGCGAACAAUGACCAGGCUCCCGCACGUCCACUUGCCCAUUCCUGCACAUUACCGCACCUGAUCCACUCACACACAUGACCGCACUUCACCGUGGACCGCACAUGGGACAGCAGCUCAUGUGAAAGCAAUUUCCAAAUUAGUGCACCUCUCCAGCUCUAUUUAAAGAGCUUUAAGCGGUCAGACACAACAAUUCCAAUUUCAAUUCGGCAAUUCCACCGACCGGCGCA
rnacentral:lncRNA from 1 species